GGGUUGUGUGCUUUCACAUAGCAGUACUGUACAAGGAAAACCCCGUCGGAUCUGUUAUUGCGGGAUACUUGUGAAAUAUACAUAGGAUUCUUUCUUAUGGCUGCAUCCCGGAUCUGGAAAUUUUACUUGGGGACCAAGAGGAUCUGAAAGGCUACAUGUACACAGAAGAUUUGCAAGCAAGACUCUGAUUCUUGUCAUAGAGCUCACAGACUUCCUCACUUACCGGCCUUUUUCCUUCCUUUUUUUUUUUUUUUUUUUUAAAUUUCUUCCCUCUUUUUCUGCUCUCUCCUCUCUCAGUUUCUCCUUUCCUGUCUGCCUCGUUUUUUUUUCUCCUGGUCUUCUUUUUUUUCCUGCUCUGCACCUGGAUUGUAUCUUCACCAAACAAUCGGGCACUUUGAGAACUAACUGGAGGCAGUCUUGUAGGGAAGAGCUGUAUGGAAUUAUCUGCUUUUAUGGUGAACUUGGCAUUUGUGAAUGGGUAUCUUGUUCACGAAAUUAAUUGCUAGCAAAAACAAGAAAAAGAACACAGGAGUAAAACGUGGAUUUUUCUGAAUACGCAUUGUGAUGACCAGCAAUUACCUUACCGACUGAUAUCCAGAGGAGAAUAAUUUGGAAGACUGUUGUGGAUUUGAGUCAAUUGAUUUCAGCUUCGCCACACGGAGUGUCACAUCCCUUAAAGUAGAGAAGGCAGAACUCCACCAGCGGGAAAUACAGAGGUCUUCUAUGAGCAAGUUUCUCCUACAAGAUCACAUUGAAAGUUAGUGGAAAGAAAAGGCCAUAUGUCUUAGGCUCUAAGGGGAUUUCAAGAGCUGCUUCAGAGAACUUUAAAACUUUCAAUAAUGUUUUAAAUACCUGGGGAAUAAAAACAAAAACUAAGAGUAACAAUGUUGGAGGAGGAGGCAGUGGAAAGGAACAGAGAAUAGGCGCAAAAGGAAAAAUAAAGACGAUUCCAAAGUGAAGUAAUACAGUACUGUUGCCUCCAACCUUUAUCUUGAAUAUUAAAAGAAUGAGGAUUGAAUAUUUGGGGGAAUCCCAGCAAAGCAAGAAGGGGUGAAGUUGCUGAGAAGGGCCAAUGCCAGUGGUAUGUGACUCCAGGACCUACUCAAAGAAGUUUGCAGGUCCAUUUGUAGAUCUUGAUCUACACAUCCUGAGACUCAAUAGUUAAUUUUACCCACUCAGAUAAAGGUUUUAUUUAUCUGAUUUUAACAGAUGCAAUAAAAGUUAUUUAAAUU
rnacentral:lncRNA from 1 species